rnacentral:lncRNA from 1 species
UCCGCUGUGCAUAUAUGUAUUCCAUCAUGUGAAAAUUUAGGGAAGGGAAAAUACAGACUUCCAAAAAUUCUAUGCAAUGGUUGUACAAACAAAGUAAUAGUUUCUUGUGCCUGCAUGCAAAUUUUACUACAUAGUCUCUUUAUAUAUAUUAAAAUUCUUAGCUAGAUCAAGUCAAACCUGGUAAAUAAUUUUUCUUGUACCAUUUAACUACACUGUAUGAUAAUUAGAAAAUGUAGCAUAACAAACUAAUUCUACAGUCUACUUACCCCUUUGAGUCCAGCCUCGUCAUAAUUAGUUCUCUUGAUCCUUCUACCUUGAUCCAUCUCUCCCAUGUUUACUAGAGAUACGAAAUUAAGAAUGAAGAUAAUGAAACUCGAAUCCCAAAAGAUAUAAUCAGAUAAGUUUUUCAAAGAGUCAACCAUCAUACUAAUAUACGCUGCCUUAACAAAACAAAGGAAAAAAAGAAUAACAUCAUAAUUAUUUGGAAAAUGGAUUCUUUUAAUGGAAUGUCCCCCAACAAAAACAACAUUUAGCUAAAAUAAAUAGACACAUUAAUAACAAGUGCUAAAGUCUUUACCGGAUUAGUUAAGUUUCAUUCUAUCCAAUGUCCCUAAAGACUUUAGGACAUAUACACAGAGUGAUAUUUUCCGCUAAAAAUACUUAUUUAGAGGAAAUUAAUUAUAUUUAGAGACAUAUACAAAAACUGUUAUUUGCUGCUAAAAAUGCAUAAUUAGUGGCAAGUGCUUAUUAAUUGCCGCUAAUGCUGAUUUUUGAUGCAAUGCCCCAUUUGGUUCUUAGAGGCAGAGUAAUAAAAAAUUUAACAGAUAUAAGAUUCACCAGGAAGAAAUAUGAACGCAUUAUUGUCUCCAGAUUGAUAUACCCGCCUCGACAUUUUCAGCAUUAUAUAAGGAUCACCCAAAAGAAAAUCAAGAAACCUAUCGUAGUAUCACUUAUUGAAACUUUAUGAAGAGGUUAAAUACAGAAUAUGUUAAAUAUUAAAGAGCUCAGAAAAUAAAUAGCAUAUUUGUUGCUGGUAAAACAAAAACAGCGACAACCCUGAUUUCUUCCAAAGAAAAUAUCAAAAUGUACGCAUGUAAUGUAACAUCACUUGAAGACUACAAUUCAAAUCAGUUUUUAAAAGAAUUUCGAUUAUACCAGUUUCUGUUAUAUGUUAUUAUUGGUUAAUAUGUGCACAUAGAGAAUUUUAUAACAAAGAGAGAUUAGUGGAGAUGAUAGAUUGAGUAAUUUAGAAGGUACUUGGACAACUCAAAAAUGACAUAGAAAUAUGACCAUAAUACAGUCUUCCAAAAAGAAAAAAUAAUUACUUUUUACACAAAAAUAGAUUAAGAAAGAAAAUCAGAAGCUACAAAUUUACUAUUGAUCAAUAAGUUAGUGUUGAUUUUUUGAAUGUUUUAGAUGAUGAACAGUAUUAGAUUCAGAAAUAGAAUUGUAAAUGGGGUUGGUGUAUUAUCUAUGUUUUCAAUACUACCAUGAAGGAGCAGAAGUAACCUGAGAGACAGUGGAGUAUUGAAGUACAAAUACCAUAUCCACAGUGAUAGUCCUAAAUGAACAAGCUAGAUAAAGCUCUUCCCGGUUGGCAAAGUUGGUGUAUGGCAUCUCUCUGAUUUUUCUAUAGUUAUUGAUUGUAGUACUAGUCCUUCUCUUGCUCACUUAUAUAUAAGGGUAAAUAUUACUGCGAGUUGACUCUAAAUAUUCCUUUAACAUCUGAAAAAUGAAUGACAACAAUAUAUAUUGAAUAAUUUAAACAUAGAGAAUCGACAUAUUUGAAAAACAUUAUCAACCCGUUGAAACAACACUUCUAAAAAAUUUAGAAGUUAGUGAACAAAUUUUAAUUUAAAGUAAAAUGAAGCCUAAGAGUGAAAGCUGAUGUUUCAUGUUCACCGGAGUUACUAUGAACCCCAAAAACAAAAGUCCACUAUAAUAAAGUUCAGAUUUGCAUAAAGCUUGUAAUGAGUGGGAUAUUCUCUGCCAUGAUCGUAAGGUUUUUUCUCAAAAUAUCUUACACUAAUAAGAGAUUCUACACCUUAUAUGUAGUUUCCAAAAUUUUCUUCAAAGGUAUAUAGCUCUCUGGAUUGACUCCUAUAAUGUGUCAAUACUGCAAUAAUGAACACAAAAAGAUACUUAUUAUGUGGCUCUUAGUAAACAUAACUAAUUCAGAAUUGCCCUCAAUAUCUUAAUCCCUAGUCUAUAUUUUCCCAUUUGCAAGCAUGUAACCGAAGAACAAAUGAGUUUUUUUAAUGUUUCCAUAGAUAUCUAGUAAAAUUAUUAUUUAAGUAUAUUAAGUGAUGUCCUGUCUAGAGUAAUUAUGAAUACAUAUUGAACAGAGAUGUUCAGCGCCGCGUGAUCCUCAAGUGCAUAUCAUUCAUGGAACAAUGAUAAUGCAGUAAUUUCAUUGUUCAUGGCUCAUAUCUCCUUCUCUCACUCACCUUGUCUAUGUUUUUAAAUAUAUGAAAUCAACAUCGUUUAUCUUUUUUUAAAGCUGCAGUGAUUGGUAUCCAAAGAAAUGACCAUUUAGCUCCAUUUUUGAAUGACCAUCACUAGACAUCUCUUAAGAUUUGUUUCUCUUAUGAUAAUAGUCACCCCACAUUAAAAAAAUCAUGCAAAUAUAAAUUUUGUAAGGAAUUUCUAAAAUAAAUAAAAGUAUAACGCAAAAAAAAGCUUGAGAACGUGGUUGUGGAUAUUCAAUAACAAUGAAAACACUACUAAUAUAUUGGAAGUUCAAAGUCUAAAAAAUAAUUAUUUUGCACUACUGAAAAAUAUAAAAAGAGUAUAUAAUCACUAUAAAUAUAUUCCCGUUCAAUCAUAUAUUUCCGACCAUUUAACACUUAUACUCAGCAACAAAAGCCAAAAAAAAAUCAUAACUGACCUAGAAUCUUCAUAAUUAACAUGAGAGUAUGUUGUAGAAUGGGCACGAAUCAGUUGCACAGAGUUUUUGACAUCGAUUCCGUUUUCCCUAGCUUUGUGAGGGUGAAAUUUGCCAAGAAUCUGUAAGAUUUCACCAUCCUCACACUUGAAAUCUCCUUCUCCUACCUUUCAAAACUUCGAGCAGCUUUUCUGAGAUUUCUACGGUGUUUAACAACUUUUAGGUAUUUUAGGAAGAUGGAGAAAAUAGGAUUUCUCGUAAUAUAUGUUCUUUCGCGCCUAUCCCACCCUAGCACCAACUUAUCCCGCCCUGGCGUUGCAGCCCUAGCAGCAUCUGACCUGCUAUGGCGGGACAAUGGCCCCGAUUUUUCCUAUAUUUUCGUUUCUUCUAAAUAUCGACGGUUUAGGUCGUUACAUAAAUUAAGGUAAAACAUAAAUAAAAGGGUUCUCUGCAGGUUUAAAACAAUAUAAUGAGAUGUUAAACAUUUUAGUACUUACAUUAAUCGAGCCCCCUAUUCUUCUUGCUACUUAGGUCUCUGAUCAGAAUCUGUUCAAGAUAGGUGUCUUACAGUGUUGAUAGAGUACUUCUAGGCUCAAUUGUCAUUGACAAAAACUAUAUCUAACCUUAUCCAGAUCUUUUACAAUGUCUCCG